rnacentral:lncRNA from 1 species
GGUCAAAAAAGGAAAGCCUUAAACUGCAGCAUGGAAUACCAGAAAUUCACUAUCUUGUUCCUACAGGAGACUAAAAUAAAUUCUGAUGUAGGCAUAGAUUUUCGAAGUGUUAUGGGCUGAAUUACAUUAACUCCAGUACCUCAGAAUAUGACUUUUAUUUGGACAAAGGGCCUUUAAAUAGAAUUGAUGUUACAAUAAAAAAUGAAACUUUGGAGGAGGACUCAAGAUGACGCUGUGAGGACAACCCAGGAUUGGAGCUCUCCUUGAAUCCGCAGAGAGGAGUGUGCCACAUUAUCACUGUUAUAAAUGGUGUUUGUCAUAAUCAAGGACACAUGAAGAACCUAUGAAAGAAGUUAACUAAGAAUGACCUCUGCCUGCCUCCAGGGAAAGCAAACCAUGCCAAUCCACAAGAAGAUGAUGUGCUUGUCGGUAUUACAAGCUUUUAUGAUUCUCGUGGUCAAUAGCCUAGUGAUUAAAAUGUGCAUUCUUGACUUACUAAAAGUAUCUUAGAACCCUGAGAUUGCCAUUGAAACAGACCCCACUAGCCAGCAGAAUGAAAAGAGACAUGUCACCUUCAUCAUCAUACCUCAUAGUGAUUGAGGACUUUAAGAUGAGGCAGUUUCCAGCAACCUAUCAGAGAAACGUGAGCAAGCCCAAGCCGUGAUCAGCCAAGCCUGGCCCAGAUCAGCAGAAUCACUCAGGUAAAUCAUAGAUUUCAUGAGCAAUAACAAAUGAUGUCUACUUUAAGCCAUUACGUUUUUGGAUGAGCUGUUAUGAAGAAAGUAAAUCAACUCAUAAACACUGCAAACCUUUAGAAGACUUCUAGGGAGUACAGGAAAUCAGUCUAGACGGAGUGUUCUUUAGCUGCCCUUGGUUCUCUUUUGCCAGUGUCUGUCCAGCAGACCCCAGCUGUGUGACAUAUUGGUGGUUGGAUAAUGUACUCAAACACCAAUGUUCAGUGAAAGAGUGGACUAGGAGGUCAGACUGCUGACUGAAAUAGUUUAGCAGUUGCACCCCAAUCUUCCAGCUAAGCUUGCAUUUAUUUAGUAAAGAUCACAUGACAAAGGUUUAGAAUAAACACCACUAGAAGGUAAUUAGCCAUGUCGACCCCCAGAGUAGAAAGCAAUCAUGUACCUGUGGAUGGUUAAAGGUUAGUCUUAGGAUCACAUGAGUAAACAAGCUAUUUAGAUAAACUCCCUUACAUUCCUUUGUUAUUUACUCUUGUUAUGAAAUCAAAGUAAACAGGAUUAGGCUGCCUUCAGCCAGAUCUUUUACUGAAACUAUACAAACCCCC